AGCAGUCGCCGCGGGAAUACGUAGGGUGCAAGCGUUAAUCGGAAUUACUGGGCGUAAAGCGUGCGCAGGCGGUUAUAUAAGACAGAUGUGAAAUCCCCUGGCUCAACCUGGGAACUGCAUUUGUGACUGUAUAGCUAGAGUACGGCAGAGGGGGAUGGAAUUCCGCGUGUAGCAGUGAAAUGCGUAGAUAUGCGGAGUAACACCGAUGGCGAAGGCAAUCCCCUGGGCCUGUACUGACGCUCAUGCACGAAAGCGUGGGGAGCAAACAGGAUUAGAUACCCGGGUAGUCCCUGUCUCUUAUAC
rnacentral:rRNA from 1 species